AUUUUAAGGACAUAUUCCCCCAUCAGUUCCUUUCCUCUGGUAGUCGGCUACUCUUUUUCUAAUCAUUGCCUUGAAGACAGGCUAUAAUAAGAGAAAGCAGAGAAAAAGGCACCUUUUUCCUGGUGUUUGGGUUUUUAAAGGGCUCAGAAAAAUAGGUGAGGGAAAACAGCUGAAUAAGAACAAGGGCUUCCCAGGUUGGAAGAGAACGUAGUGUUGAAGGGAAAUGGAAGAUGGAGCCUCAGAGAGUGGGGAAAACGCAGAGAAGAAAUGACCCUGGAGUAUCUCAUGGAAGCAUCACUGUGACAGGAGCAGAAGACUCCCCAGGGCCAGAGAUUGGCCUAGAAGUAGAUUAGAGACCCAUCCAACCCAAAGAUGGGGGAAAGGGAGAACACGCAGGUGAGUGGGUCAUAUGGGACAACGGAUGUCUCAGCAGAUGGCAAAUGCGAACAGAAGACUUUGAGGAUCAGAUAGACUUCCCCGCAUACCUCCAAGUCCAACACUUGGAGCUUUAGGAGCCUCUUGCAAUUUAGAUACAAUUACAGGUAAAAGUUCAGGAGAAUCCUGGAAUUGACUGAGGUUUUUUUCUACCACCCUAGGAGAAAGUGGGAUUGAAAAAGGGAUUAUGUCCAAUUGCA
rnacentral:lncRNA from 10 species